AGAUGAAAGAUGUUGAUACGUGCAGUAAUUAAAUUUCCUCGACCAAUUUUGCCAACGAAAAAUCUCUCGGAACUCUCUGGAGACAAAAUCGGUCUCAAGAACCCUUGGCAAUAUUAAAAUUCCCUGACCUUCCUGUAAAACUUGUUCACUUGACAAAUUGGAUAUUUUUUCGCCGAGAGAAUUAUUUAAAAAAAUCUUUCUUAAUUUAUUUCCAUUAUUAUUUUAAGCCGUAACCUUUUACCUUCUGUUUGAGUGAAGAUUAAAUGUCAUUGUUUUUCUAUCUAAAAUUAAAGUUUUCUACUGUUAGUUCAAAUAUAUAGAGACACCGGAAGAAUUUAUAAAAUGUCGUAUUUUUUACUUUCUGAUAAUGGAAUGCUGCAGAUAUUUAGUUUUUCAAUGAAAUACUGUUCCUACAUAUUGAUGGCUAUUUAUUCAUUUUUGCAAAUACUGAUAUUUACGUAGAAAUAGUAUGAAACACAUAAAUUGUCAAGGCGACAGUUAAUAAAUUAUUUCGACGUCUCAAAAUCUGCAGUAUGAAAAUGGAAUGUGGAUUGUAUUUCUAUAAAUAUGACUGAAUCAUCGAGCUGAGGCAAGUAAAGAAAUUGAUAGAUAUUAUCACUUUUUAAAAUAGAAAAAUGGCGAUAUCUUCCUCAUUGUUACUUAAAUAAAGGAUACCCUUGUGAAUCGGAUAUAUGUCAGCUAAAUCCUUUGAUUAGUAUCACAUUAUUCCAUUAUGAAACCCAGUUUCCUUUACUGGGUUUCAUAUCGAUACUAAGUUUAAAGUUUCCGGUUCUCGGGGGCUUAUCUUUUAAUAUAGUUGUGGAGUAGAUUCUAGUUUAUAAUAAUUCAUUUUAGUUUAAUUUGUUACUAGUUUGGUAUAAUACAGUCGUCGUAUAUAUCAAUACAAUGAAGACUCUGAAGAGGACUUUUCUACCAAGCUUUAACAGCAGAAACACUUGAUACAUUUCACCAAAGAGAAGUUAUCAGUUAACAGCUUCUCUUUGUUUACUUGUAAACUUGUAAAUAAUUUGAAAAUUUAUAAAUUUUAUAUUUUAU